GGAGGGCAAGUCUGGUGCCAGCAGCCGCGGUAAUUCCAGCUCCAAUAGCGUAUAUUAAAGUUGUUGCAGUUAAAAAGCUCGUAGUUGAACUUUGGGCCUGGGUGGCCGGUCCGAUUUUUUCGUGUACUGGAAUGCACCCGGGCCUUUCCUUCUGGCUAACCCCAAGUCCUUGUGGCUUGGCGGCGAACCAGGACUUUUACUUUGAAAAAAUUAGAGUGUUCAAAGCAGGCGUAUUGCUCGAAUAUAUUAGCAUGGAAUAAUGGAAUAGGACGUUUGGUUCUAUUUUGUUGGUUUCUAGGACCAUCGUAAUGAUUAAUAGGGACGGUCGGGGGCAUCAGUAUUCAAUUGUCAGAGGUGAAAUUCUUGGAUUUAUUGAAGACUAACUACUGCGAAAGCAUUUGCCAAGGACGUUUUCAUUAAUCAAGAACGAAAGUUAGGGGAUCGA
rnacentral:rRNA from 1 species